GCUGAGGGACAGCCCCGCGGUUGUGGGUGUCCCGCGGCGCCGGAAACUGGGCGCACACACCCUCGGAUUGACGUGCGCACGCGCACCGGUUACCUUCAGGAGCGCCGAAGAAGGAAAGAAGAACACAGAGCCCGAGGCAAAGCUUAAGUGCUUACGCUUUUGUCGGGAGGUACAGACCCAGCUCUGCGAGAGCCAGGGGAAAAGGAAGAGAGGCAGGGAAGGAAUGGCAGCAAGUACAAGGUGAUGAAUGACUGCACUGGCCAUUGCUUCAUGAAGAGCCACGAAAAAACAGAGCCGGUUUCUCAGCAGGUGGCUGGCUGCUCAGUCACAAAGGACCUCUUUGGACAGGCUUUAUGGAAAUACUGUGCCUAGGACAGUCGCUCAAAGGCAGGAGGGAGAGAAAAUGCAUCUGCAAGCUCACUUUGUCUUCUUUCUUCUGCUGGUCAAAAUUUGCUGGCUGGGGCAGUUAACGCCCUCACACAUCCGAGUUGUGUCACCUGGCCCCUUUGGUAGCCACUGGGGAAGCCAGAUCUAGGCAUGUGGCCUGAUGGCUCCUGCGGUGGAACCACAUGCUCACACUCAGUCAGUCACCACUGGGAUGCCCUGGGCAGGGCAGGCUGAGUGGCUGGGAGAUAGCUGAGCCUAAGAUAUCUAAGCAAGCACCUGUGAUGUAUGCACUGCAGUGUCCAAAUGUGAAAAAGCAAGAAAGGGAGAUAGAAGCAUAUUUUUUUCUGGAGAGAAGGAGGAAACCACCAGGAGAAUACAAACAGAAAAAAGACUGCCAGCUCCGUGACAGCAAGAACCUUGUAUGACUUUUUCAUGAUGGAUGUUCAUCUGUGCCAUCUGUAAAUAUUGAAUAAAUAUUUGUGGAAUACAUGAAUCUAAAAGUGAAUGGAAUGAUAAAGAGGGAAAGGGUCAUGACAUCUACUACAGCAUUUGGCACAGACCCAGGUUUCCCUGGUACUGGUAAUUCCCAGCAGCUUUCUACAAUUCCAAAGGUCAGAAAUAAACUGCCAAAAAAUUUUUACUAAAUCAUGUUCUGGUCUGGGAUACAGCCCUGAAAUGCACUUUGAGCAAGAAAGACUUUGUAGAGGAGAAAAAAGGUGGACCAAUGAGGAUUGGGCUAGAACCAGAGGAAAGUGAACAUUCUUGGUUUAGAUAAAUAUCCACAACCUUCUAAGGUUUUCAUGUGUACUACAGAGAAGCUCCAGGCUCCUACAUUUCCCUGUGGGUAGUUUUAAAAAGCUACUGUAGCAAAACAGAGGCUGGUGGUGACUACGCUUAUCUUUUAGAAGAGCCAUCAUUGCAUUUCUGCAGCACAGAAUAUAUACGUGUUUUUUACUCUUAGUGGUGGAGUUUAUAUGUGACUCAUGAUGUUUAGUUGUUAAUCAUCCAAUGAUACUAAAUACUGCUUAGUUAGCUCAGUAUUCCCUUUAGGAAACCAGAUAUUGCUAAAGUCACUGUUCGACUUAAUGGGGAAAAUUCCACUAACAUCUAAAAUAUGUGAUUUAUAAUUCAAAAAUGUAAAUACUGUAUUGGUAUUACAUACUAUAAAAGGACAAUUGUCUACACAAUUACAUAACAUGCAUGUAAGGAUCAAUAUUUAAUUAAGACUAUUUUUGUAUUCUCAUUGGGAGUUAGAGCCCAAUAUUCUCAAUUGGGUGAGAAUUUCAGCCAAAUGGUCUAUCCAUUUUCUUUUCUUUCUUUCUUUUUUUUUUUUGAGACAGAUCUUGCUUUGUUGCCCAGGCUGGAGUGCAAUGGUGUGAUUUUGGCUCACUGCAACCUCCGCCUCCUGGGUUCAAGCGAUUCUCCUGUCUCAGACUCCCGAAUAGCUGGGAUUACAGGUGUGCACCACCAUGCCUGGCUAAUUUUUGUAUUUUUAGUAGAGGUGGGGUUUCACCAUGUUGGUUAGGCUGGUGUCAAACUCCUGACCUCAGGUGAUCUGCCUGCCUCGGCCUCCCAAAGUGGUGGGAUUACAGGCGUGAGCCACUGUGCCUGGCCAGUCUAUCCAUUUUCUAUUUCCCCAAAGUAACUUGUGAGAAAUGUCUUAGGCUAGAAUUUGCUUAUAUAUUUUCCAUCUUGCACAUGGUUAAAACGUGCAGUUUCCUAAACCAGUGGUUCUCGAACAUCAGUGUGCAUUAGAAUCACCUGGAGGGCUGGUUAAAACACAGAUUGCCAGGCCGUUCUCAGGGUUUCUGAUUUAGUAAGUCUGGCGGUUGGACCCGAGAAUCUGCAUUUCUAACCAGUGAUUCCCAAGUGAUGCUGAUGCUGCAGGUCUGGGGACCAAUGUCUUGAACUAACAGCUCUGAAUAAAAAUCUAAUUGGAUUCUGAAUGCCACAGAUGCAGUUUGGAGAUUGUUUUUCAAAGCAGAAUAUCCAUUUGUGGAAUAAAAAAGUUUAUCAUUGUUAUUACCUGAAGUAAUUUCUCUUUCCUUUGUGUUUUUAGAGGAGUUUUGUUGGUCGCUUUUAUCAGGCAUUAGGCCUUGUAUUACAUUCAUUUGUGCCUAUGCUUUAUCUCCUUUGUGACUGUGAGCUCUUUGAAGGACUGUGUUCAUCUUUAAAUCCUCAUUGUACCUUACAUCUUGUAGACUUCAAAUCAUUGUUUGGUAAAUUGAAUUUAGUGAUGUGUACAUGUUUUGUGCCUGCUUUCCUACAUGUAAUAAUUAUAAACAACAAAUAUCAAGUUAAGUAUGC
rnacentral:lncRNA from 10 species